UUUCGCAAUGCCCGAAAGGGUGACGAAGCGACGCCGCGUGGGUGAGGAAGGCCUUCGGGUUGUAAAGCCCUGUCAGGAGUUAUGAAAUGUAAGUGCGCUAAUAUCGUGCUUAUUUGACAAAGGCUCCAAAGGAAGCCACGGCUAACUCUGUGCCAGCAGCCGCGGUAAUACAGAGGUGGCGAGCGUUGUUCGGAAUUAUUGGGCGUAAAGAGCACGUAGGUGGGUUUGCAAGUCGGAUGUGAGAGCCUUCUGUUCAACGGAAGAAUUGCAUCUGAAACUGCUAAUCUUGAGUAUAGGAGGGGAGAAUGGAACUUCUGGUGGAGCGGUGAAAUGCGUAGAUAUCAGAAGGAACGCCGGCGGCGAAAGCGAUUCUCUGGCCUAUUACUGACACUCAGUGUGCGAAAGCUAGGGGAGCAAACGGGAUUAGAUACCCCGGUAGUCCUAGCCGUAAACGAUGGGCACUAAGUAGAGGGGUUUUA
rnacentral:rRNA from 1 species